rnacentral:lncRNA from 1 species
UCUCUCUCUCCUCCUCUUUCUUCUUCCUCCCGCGACAUAGAAGGCAGAAGAGAGGUCGCGCGGUGUCGGCACUGGCCCCUGACGGCUCUGACCAUCCCCCGAAGCGCCUCAUCCACCAGCGUGCUCAGGAGAGGACGCCGCCUCCGUCCUACUAGAGCAUGGGCGGCGAUGAGGAUCCGAGCCGCGAUGGCGUAGGCUCCCGCAGGUUAGGGCUCCGCCUAGAUUCGGAGGCGAGGCCACGAAUGACCCAGGGACGGAACGAGGAUAGGGGAGGGCUCGAGGGGCUCUGG